rnacentral:rRNA from 1 species
CACGCCCUAAACUAUGUCAACUGGUUGUCGGGGAAGCAAUUCCUUGGUAACGAAGCUAACGCGUGAAGUUGACCGCCUGGGGAGUACGGCCGCAAGGUUAAAACUCAAAGGAAUUGACGGGGACCCGCACAAGCGGUGGAUUAUGUGGAUUAAUUCGAUGCAACGCGAAAAACCUUACCUACCCUUGACAUGUACGGAAUCCUCCAGAGAUGGAGGAGUGCCCGAAAGGGAGCCGUAACACAGGUGCUGCAUGGCUGUCGUCAGCUCGUGUCGUGAGAUGUUGGGUUAAGUCCCGCAACGAGCGCAACCCUUGCCAUUAGUUGCUACAUUAAGUUGGACACUCUAAUGGGACUGACGGU